UCCCUGGUGGUCUAGUGGUUAGGGCGCUGCACUCUUGACUGCAGAGGGCUUGGGUUCGGUCCCUGAUCAGGGAA
rnacentral:tRNA from 1 species